CUUCUUUGAUCAGCUGAGGACAGAUGAAAUGGACGUGGCAGUCUAAGGCACCGGCGGUCAGGAUGAGGCCUUCUCCGGCAAUGACUUCAGUCCCGGCGCCGCAUACCAUUCCUGGCGUAACGCCUACAAACAUCACAUCAAAG
rnacentral:ncRNA from 1 species